UACGAGGGGGGCUAGUGUUGUUCGGAAUCACUGGGCGUAAAGGGUGCGUAGGCGGGCGUUUAAGUUAGGUGUUUAAUCCCGGGGCCCAACCCCGGACCGGCACCUAAAACUGGACGUCUUGAAUAGUGGAGAGGUCGGUGGAAUUGGAGGUGUAGCGGUGGAAUGCGUAGAGAUCUCCAAGAACACCCGUUGCGAAGGCGGCCGACUGGACACAUAUUGACGCUGAGGCUCGAAAGCAUGGGGAGCAAACAGG
rnacentral:rRNA from 1 species